GCACUCUAAAAAUACCACUCAAUAAAAUGUUAAUAAUAAGCACUCAAUAAAAUGUAAACACAACGGCGUUUUAUUUUAACCUGCAGGAGUAACGAUUAACUGGUCCAUACAGUAAAAGAAUGAUGAUAAUUAAUGUUCGUAUUCAAAUCCGUUUUGUAAAGUUUGCCAUUUAAAGUGCUACUGCAGCGAAUUUUUGGACCUAGUUUUUUUUAGCUUAAAUAAAAA
rnacentral:lncRNA from 1 species